UACGUAGGGGGCAAGCGUUGUCCGGAUUUAUUGGGCGUAAAGAGCGUGUAGGCGGCCAGACAGGUCCGUUGUGAAAACUCGAGGCUCAACCUCGAGCUGUCGGUGGAAACCGUGUGGCUAGAGUCCGGAAGAGGAGAGUGGAAUUCCCGGUGUAGCGGUGAAAUGCGCAGAUAUCGGGAAGAACACCCGUGGCGAAGGCGGCUCUCUGGGACGGUACUGACGCUGAGACGCGAAAGCGUGGGGAGCGAACAGG
rnacentral:rRNA from 1 species